AGUGAACGCUGGCGGUAGGCCUAACACAUGCAGGUCGAACGGCAGCACAGUAAGAGCUUGCUCUUACGGGUGGCGAGUGGCGGACGGGUGAGGAAUACAUCGGAAUCUACUUUUUCGUGGGGGAUAACGUAGGGAAGCUUACGCUAAUACCGCAUACGACCUACGGGUGAAAGCAGGGGAUCUUCGGACCUUGCGCGAUUGAAUGAGCCGAUGUCGGAUUAGCUAGUUGGCGGGGUAAAGGCCCACCAAGGCGACGAUCCGUAGCUGGUCUGAGAGGAUGAUCAGCCACACUGGAACUGAGACACGGUCAGACUCCUACGGGAGGCAGCAGUGGGGAAUAUUGGACAAUGGGCGCAAGCCUGAUCCAGCCAUACCGCGUGGGUGAAGAAGGCCUUCGGGUUGUAAAGCCCUUUUGUUGGGAAAGAAAAGCAGCAGGUUGAUACCCCGCUGUUCUGACGGUACCCAAAGAAUAAGCACCGGCUAACUUCGUG
rnacentral:rRNA from 1 species